rnacentral:rRNA from 1 species
CAAUAGCGUAUAUUAAAGUUGUUGCGGUUAAAAAGCUCGUAGUUGGAUUUCUGCUGAGAACGACCGGUCCGCCCUUUGGGUGUGUAUCUGGCUCUUUCUUGGCAUCUUCUUGGUGAACGUUGCUGCACUUGACUGUGUGGAGCGCUACCCAGGACUUUUACUUUGAGGAAAUGAGAGUGUUCCAAGCAGGCAUCCGCCUUGAAUACGUUAGCAUGGAAUAAUAAGAUAGGAUUACGGUCCGUUUUUAUUGGUUUAGCGGCCGUGAUAAUGAUUAAUAGGAACAGUCGGGGGCAUUUGUAUUUAACUGUCAGAGGUGAAAUUCUUGGAUUUGUUAAAGACAAACUACUGCGAAAGCAUUUGCCAAGGAUGUUUUCAUUGA